rnacentral:rRNA from 1 species
GGGGGCAACCAUACCAGCACUAAUGCACCGGAUCCCAUCAGAACUCCGAAGUUAAGCGUGCUUGGGCGAGAGUAGUACUAGGAUGGGUGACCCCUGGGAAGUCCUCGUGUUGCACCCC